GUUUUUUUAAUUUGAUCAUACAACAAUAUGCUAUACUCGCUAAUAUAAAAUAUCUGUACAAUAGAGACAGUUACUGCAACAAAAGCAGAAUAGUAUUUUUUAUACCCUUGAUUUCAGACAAAACAAUGAAUGCACAGGCGUCCCAAUACUUUUGUCCAUGAAGUGUACUAACUGUGUGCUCUUGUGCUUAUAGAUUUAAUCACAGCCAAGUCAGUAAUGGCCACACAAAAACAGCAACGGACAAAACAGCUCAGACCACCGUCUCGCAUCGGCCGGGAUCUCCGAGCUGCUUUACUACAUCUCAAAAAUGGACAAAGGACUAAACACCCGCAGGCCUUUCCACAGCGAGGGGAACUCCCUUCUGCCGCAGGCCUGUUGCUUUAUCCAGAUAAGAAAGAGAAGAUGGUGACAACAACAGAGAUAGCGUUUGGGCCGAAAACCUGCACCAAGACUGAGCCAAUAAAAAUUCUACAGUGCAAUCUAGUCCUGGAAGGGGACAGAACCUUUGUCACGACCCACAGAGAGGCUUUUCAAGCUCAGCCUCAAGAUGAUGGGGCUCCUCUGAUGGUGAAGACAGCCUCCGGAAGAGCGGAGAGGACGCCAACGCCGCACUUUCAAACCAACUACCAGAAGAACUUUCCUCAGCCACGGGGCAUUUACAAGAGGAGACUGCAAGUCCUGCCCUGCCCAGAUAACCUCGCCGUCAAUCCUGCACUGAGGCAAGAGGGUCCACUGUGCAAAUACACAAAUAAUCCAACAUCAUUCACUGCAGGGGUUCCCACACUCUGUCCAGUACAAAUACAAAUCUGAUAUAUGGCCAUAUAUGCAAACACUUGUGUAUCAUACAGAAUUGGGCCUAGAUUUCAAAAGAUAUUUACACAUACAUUAGCAAUAAGCAAGUAUAAUUUGAUACCAGCAUACAUGUUUGAUUGAAUAAAGUAGAGGACAGUGAGAGAUUAAAGACA
rnacentral:lncRNA from 1 species